AAUAAAUGAGUAUAGAGAAAAGAUAAACCUAAUCAACCCCAGUCAUUUUAACUACGGCUGGACUCCAUAAUGCUAUACGAAUCGCCAUUUCAAAAUUAUCCAUCCGUUAUGUCGAUAGCUUUGCCCAAAAAAUAUACAUUCAUUGCUAUCUUCAAAACUCACCCAUUUCCUCUUCAUCAUCUUCUAGUCCGGUCUUCUUACCCAGCGUCCUUCCGGAAACUAGUCAUGCAGAUUCGGGCCUACUUGAACCAGAUGGAACAUUAUUGUGAAGGACCGUCUUCGAGGCCAGAAAUUCGUCCCUGAGACCCCAAACCACUACCCCGGACACAGAUCUAGAAGUUCCCUUGUCAAACGCAGCGUCAAAGUGCAUCUUAACCUUUGAUUAGCCAUAAGGCAUAACAGAAAAGUCGACUCUGCUCCUCGGACCCUUGCAUGAAUACCCAGGGCAUUUUCUGAAUACGUGAGAGCAAUCUUCAUCCCCCGAAUAACAACGGAGGCAAUGAGCGUACAUGAGCGUACGUGAGCACCCUUUUACACCUAAGGUUUGCAAGCGUGGGCAUGUAAUUCCAGGAGAUAUGCUAGAUUGUAAUUGUAACUUUUGUGAGAAGUUGUAGGCUCUAGAGUUUGUUGUAAAAUUUUUUAGAUUCGGUCUGUAUUAAAUUACUACUAGGAUCUAGUAAAGAGUCCUGUAAUAGUUUAUAAGCACUACGUACGGAGAAUUCCCUAGACUGUUCUCCCUUCCAAACUUAAAAGUUUGCAUGACCUGUUUCUGCAAGGGGGAUCUACAAUAUUUUUUGAGCAACCUCGUCAUGAAAGCACAGUCCACCUUGAAGAAGUCCCUUCAACGCUCAAAUGCUCUUCCAGGUAAGGGAAGGUAGAUUCCCUAACCUAGCUUCAAGAAAAUUAGACUGUGGAUAAUAAUUUUCCUUUAAAACCUUUGCUAAUAAUGAGUUAGGAUAGAUUGUCAAUUGCCAACCUUGUUUAGCUAAUAGCGCGAUAUUAAAUUGACUUAAAUUUUGAAACCCUAAACCCCUAUUUUCCUUUAAACUGCAAAGAUUUUUCCUAGUGCACCAAUGAAUACCCUUUUUCCUCUUUCCUUCUGCCACUAAAAUUUUGCAAUAAUACUCUCAAUAUCAUCACAUAGAGUUCUCGGCAAUAGGAAAGAGGCCAUCGUGUAAGUUGGAAUCACCUAAAGGAUGGCUUUAAUAAAGACUUUUUUUUCUCCUUGAGAUAGGUAAUUAUUACUCUAGAUGACAAUAUGCAAUUUAAUACGAUCCUUUAAAUUUUGAAAAGACUCCUUCUUCCUCCUACCCACCAUAUUUGGCAAACCAAGGUAGCGUUCCGGUUCCUCCAAGCAUCGAACUGCCAAUAGACUAGCAACUGUUUAUCCACUGCUGAAGUAUUUUUACUAAAGAAAAUAGUGGACUUUUCAAAAUUAACCUGCUGACCCAAACAAGAUCUGUAGUAGCUUAAAAUUACUUUUAACAGAUUUGCACCCCUAAUUGUGGCAUCCCCAAAUAGAAUACAAUCAUCUACAAAUAACAAAUGCGAUACCGUUGGCCCACUCCUGCUGGUCUUCACCCAUUUUAAACUUCAUUCUUGCAUCGCUAGUCUCAUCAAACUCGAUAGACCCUCUCCAUUCUCUCCUUAAUAAAUCCAUUAAUGACAACUAAAUAAGAAACAGAUGUGAUGCAUUUCAUAACCCCUUCAACCCAUUUUGUAGCAAACCCCAUUUGAAUCAUUAUUGCCCUUAAGAAGUUCCAUUCAACCCUAUUAUACGCUCUACUCAUGUCUAACUUCAUCGCCAUUAAUCCUUUCUUUCCCUACCUUUUGUGCUUAAGCUUAUUAAGGAUUUCAUAUGCUAUCAACACAUUAUUCGAGAUUAAUCGUCCUGGCAUAAAGGCACUUUGCACUUCAUCAAUACAUUUUCCAAUCACUCUUCGGAAACGGUUUGCAAUCACCUUCACCAAUAUUUUGUAUAAAACAUUAUAUAGACUAAUUAGACGAAAAUGCGACAUAUUCAUUGGAUUAGAGUUUUUCGGAAUAAGCACAAUAUUAGUGGAAUUUAACGAACUGACCUCCAUAUCUCCAUUAAGUAUCUGUAGGCAAAAAGAGCCAGCCUCAUCUCCAAUAAUGUGCCAGCAUUUCUGGUAAAACAAGGCUGGGAACCCAUCCUCCCCUAGAGCUUUAGUUACCCCAUCUCAAAUACCACUUCUUGAAUUUCUUCACUGGUGUACUUUACUGUCAGUUUUUCAUUAUCUCCUUCAGAUACACAACGGUUAAUACCAGACAGCACAUAAUCAUAAUUUCCUCUAUCUCCAGCCGUAAAUAAGUUAUGAAAAUAAGACGAAGCAACAGCUUAUAUUUCAUACAAAACCUCAGUUUCCCUGCCUUCAUCAUUCUUUGGGCAGUUGUAUUAUGAAAAAAAGCUGUAUUUUUAUCCUCAAAUUUCAGCCAAUUGAGUCUAGCCCUUUGCUCCUAAUAGCGUUUAUUUUUUCUAUUUCGAAAUUCAGAUGAAUUCUCAUAUCAAUUAUUUCCGCCAUAUUUCUCUCAUCUCUAUCAUUACUCAGCAAUUCAGUCAGUUUAUCGGUAAGAAUCUGUCUUUUUCUCCUUCGACUCACUCGAAUAUUCCCUACCCAAUGACUCAAACCUUUCUUCAGAUUUUCUAACUUUAAAAGCAGUGUUCCUGAAGAUGACUCCCUUAAACGUUUGACUUCUUCAAAGAAAGUAUCUUCUAACACCCACCAAGCUUCAAAUUUGAAAGAAAUACUUAUUGGUUGUUCGUCGUCUUUCUUCGUAUUAAUCAAGAGUGAGCAAUGAUCUGAAAAAGUAUGCACUAAAUGUUAAACUUUGACCUCCGGGAACAUGGAAAUCCAUCUACCCGUAGCAACUCCUCUGUCCAACCUUUCUUGAAUAUUUGUCUCCAGCAGAUUACCUCUCUCCCACGUAAACCAAGUGCCAGAAUACCCUACAUCAAUCAAUUGGCAGACUUCCAAGGUUCUUCGAAACGACUCCAUUCUUCCCUCAUCUCUUAGCAAUCCUCCUUUUUUUUUAAACCCAUACAUGAUUUCAUUAAAGUCUCCACAUACAAACCAAGGAAUAUUCUCUACUGUUAUCAAACUUUUCAACACCUUCCAAGCUUCAUUCCUAUCUUGUGCAUAGGGGGAGCUCUAAAAAUUAGUGUAUGUCCACUUUACACUAGCCUCAUUGUCAUCAACAAAUACAUCAAUAUACCUCUUGGAAAAUGUUCGAAGUGUUAUGUUAACAUCCACUUUCCAUGCCAAACAUAAACCUCCUCUAGUGCCUUCAGCGUCGACCUCAAUACCGUUUUGGAAACCACAACUUCGUCGUAUUCGUUUCAUUUGCUUUCCACGUAGCUUCGUCUCUAUAAAGAAGACAAUUUGGGGAUUGUAACUUCAGCAUAUGUCGAAGUCGUCGAAACGUUCGUGGCCUCCCAAACUACGAACAUUCCAACUCAAUAUUUUUAUUGCGACCGGUAGGCUUGCCUUUUGGCAGCCGGCUAUAAUAAAUGAUUAGAAUCCACCCCUCUCCUAGUCCUUGUCGUAAGAGCUUCAUACCCUUCUUUACUGGAUGACUCUUUUAUCACUCCUCUACUUCUCUUUUUCUCUUCCUCUCUGAUGAUGACACCAUCUUUAAGAUCAUACUCCAUGGCAGUUUGUGAUUGAUACAUCCAUACAUUCCUCAUUGACUGAUCUAACGAUGGCAUAUUCCCUUCGAAAUUAAAACCCAGAAUUGCAUCAAUGUUCAUCCCACCUCUUCCAACAGUUACCUUUUCCUGUAAUCGGUUUCCCAAUACUCGACUUCCAUUCUGUUAUCCUCCACUAUUGCCCUCGCCUUCCUCUCUAAGCUGGAUACUAGUCAUUGAUAGUGCUCUACGGGGUUGGGCUUUCAAUGAUAAAUCCCACCCCAUAUCAGCAACCUCCACCCCAAGCAUCAUUUUAGCCUCACAAAAAGAAUCACUGUCCCAACCGACCAUAAUAAAAAUAGAAAAGGGAUAGAAGUUCAUAUUUGAACCUGACAUAGGAGUAUCUUCCAUUAAACAUCACCUGCUUCUUCCUUUUCAACGGACGUCUGAUGUCUAAUUUAGCUCUAAUUCUCAUAUAAUUGUAAUUUUCUUUCCCUCUACUUGAUCCAUCAUAUUCUAGGAAUUCUCCUAAAAAAUUCCCCAACUUUACUGCUAAGUUUUCAGAAAACAAGCCAAUAGGGACAUCAUGAAUUUGAACCCAAAAAUGGGUAUAAAUUAAUGGAACUUUCAAUGGAUCUCCCUCUUGUUGUAGAUGUGACAGAAUCAAUAAAUGAUUAUUAAAGGUCCAUGGUGAUCCUUUUAAAACCUUUUCCAAACCCAUAAUGUGAAAAAACUGAAAUAAAUACAUUUUUUCUCCCAAAUCCCGAAUUUGAACACCCCGUACAGGAUGCCAUAGAUUAGCCAUCGUACUUUUCAUAGCUGGGAAGUGAAUUAAACUGGCUGUUAAGAAGCAGCCUACCAGUUGAAACUCUCUAUCCCUUGCUGCAAGUGGAUCUGUAGGAAUCUGUAAGAUUUCAUUUUCCUCAUCGUUAAGAAACAAAACCACUAAUUCAUUCUCCAUCCCUGCAGGUCACGAAACCAAGCAUAAUGAUAAAUUCCUGACGAAUAGUAGAUUGAUGCCGUACUGUGUACUCCGGACAGUACUGGACAGAAAAAAAAAUAAAACACCAGUUGAAAAACCUAAAAACGCAUACCAGGGGCGGCAGACAAAAAGCGUGCUAGGGUAAUAGACUUUUUCACCCAACGCGAUAAAAUAAGUUUAUAAAUUUAAAUUAAAAAUAAUUUAAAUGUAAAUUUAUUGUGUUACAUGUGUAAGAAUACUAACAUGCCAAAUGUCAUAAAAUUACAGAUUAUUCAAAUA